GAAGCCCCGGCACCUUUUGGGGUGCUUCUCCAGACUUGCAAUCUGUUGUGCACCGCACUGCGGGG
rnacentral:tRNA from 1 species